CCUACGGGGGGCAGCAGUGAGGAAUAUUGGUCAAUGGGCGGGAGCCUGAACCAGCCAAGUCGCGUGAAGGAAGAAGGUACUUAGUAUUGUAAACUUCUUUUAUAAAGGAAUAAAGUGAGGCACGUGUGCCUUUUUGUAUGUACUUUAUGAAUAAGGAUCGGCUAACUCCGUGCCAGCAGCCGCGGUAAUACGGAGGAUCCGAGCGUUAUCCGGAUUUAUUGGGUUUAAAGGGAGCGUAGAUGGGUUGUUAAGUCAGUUGUGAAAGUUUGCGGCUCAACCGUAAAAUUGCAAUUGAUACUGGCAGUCUUGAGUACAGUUGAGGUAGGCGGAAUUCGUGGGGUAGCGGUGAAAUGCUUAGAUAUCACGAAGAACUCCGAUUGCGAAGGCAGCUUACUAAACUGCCACUGACAUUGAUGCUCGAAAGUGUGGGUAUCAAACAGGAUUAGAUACCCGAGUAGUC
rnacentral:rRNA from 1 species